rnacentral:lncRNA from 1 species
UGUAGUAUAUUGUGGGUAUAUACUUGGGGAUUGAGAGAACAGAAAAAAGGCCGAGGCAUCAUCCUCUUCUAUGACUCUGAGGAUCAAAGGCAUUUUCUUGUAUUUCUUGAACAAAGAUUUGUGGAGGACCUACUCUGUGCAGACAUUAUUAGACAAUAAAGGAAGCCAAGAGUCUCAGGCCCUUCGCCCUUGCUUCUCAGAAAAGAACAGCUAACCAUUGCCAACCAGAAUGCAUAGAAACUGAACUACUUCUGUGUCUGCAAUUGUCAUCUUGGACAAAUUACCUAAACUGCUUGGGCUGAGAUAUGUGAAUUCAGAUAUUGAAGCUUAUUUAUACCUUCAUAAUUCUAUGCUUCCAUAAUGAUUAAAUCCACCAUAGUAAUAAAUAAAGGCCUUAACCAC